CCUACGUGAGGCAGCAGUGGGGAAUAUUGCACAAUGGGGGGAACCCUGAUGCAGCGACGCCGCGUGGGUGAAGGAGUAUUUCGGUAUGUAAAGCCCUAUCAGCAGGGAAGAACAAUGACGGUACCUGACUAAGAAGCACCGGCUAAAUACGUGCCAGCAGCCGCGGUAAUACGUAUGGUGCAAGCGUUAUCCGGAUUUACUGGGUGUAAAGGGAGCGCAGGCGGCGCGUUAAGCCUGGUGUGAAAGUCCGCGGCCCAACCGCGGGACCGCAUUGGGAACUGGCGCGCGGGAGUGCCGGAGGGGUAGGCGGAAUUCCUAGUGUAGCGGUGAAAUGCGUAGAUAUUAGGAGGAACACCAGUGGCGAAGGCGGCCUACUGGACGGUGACUGACGCUGAGGCUCGAAAGCGUGGGGAGCAAACAGGAUUAGAUACCCGGGUAGUC
rnacentral:rRNA from 1 species